GAAGCAUGACCGUAAGGACAUGUGGACAGUAUGGGAGUGAGAAUGUUGGCAUGAGUAGCGAGAUGUGGGUGAGAAUCCCACAGGCCGUCAACCCAAGGUUUCCAGGGGAAGGUUCGUCCGCCCUGGGCUAGUCGGGACCUAAGCUGAGGCAGAUAGGCGUAGGUGAUGGACAACAGGUUGAUAUUCCUGUACUACCGAUAACC
rnacentral:rRNA from 1 species